AGUAGUAGUGUAGUAGCGCCGAGCAGGCUCCAGUCAGCAACCGGCCGCGAACAGCGACGGAAGGCCUGCCAACCGUGGCGAACCAACCAACUAGAAACAGUCGCGAAUCCUGCGCUCGCGUGCUUCGGACUGUUUACCUUCUGACGACAACUUGUGCGUGUUGCGUGACCUCCUGCCGGUGCUGAAAUAGCCUUCGUGUGCCGUGCUUGAUCACUCCCACACCCCCCUACUUACGUCAUCAACUUUUUUUUUUUUUUUUUUUUCUUGUAAAACGUUUGACAAUUUAGCGCUGGUCUUCCCUCCGGCUGGCGAACAGUUGACUGCCGAGACCGAGGUCAGGGAAUCCCUCCUGUACGUGCUAAAAACUCCGAACUUACUCCUCGGGCACAGUAGCUAGUGCAAUAGGCCAUGUGCGUACAUCGCUCCAAUAUUUUCGUUUGAGAGCGUAAUUCCCAUAGGACGCUGACAAUAAGGUUUUCGGCCAUUUCUGAAUCAGUCGCUUGUCGCGAUGGGCGUGCCGGCAUUCUGCAGCGCGUGACGGAGGGUGGUUUCGCUCGCAGACCACGUGGUCUCCCGGCGGCGUUUCGCUUUGCGCACAGACGCGGAAUUUGCGCUCCUGAGGGCUUUCGCACGCCGUUCGCUGCCUCAUGCUGACCACGGGCGACGUGUUUCCCGGCGUCCACGCCACCUCGAGACGGGCCCGAAACAUCUGACUGCGCUGUCACCGUGCGCCGAAAGGCCGCAACUUGAGCAGGAAACGGAAAAGGAGGAAACGGGCACCCUCCUAGCCGUAGAGAGAGCAGACUGAAUCUGUGAUUUCGCCCCCCACUCGCCGUUAACGUCCGAAGACAAACGCCAACUGCCCAAAUAAACAAAAAAAAACCAAAACAAAGCAGGUACAGACUGGCUGCGAAGCACAGGUGAAGAAAAAGAACCACCACAGUACUGAUUUCAAAAAUAAAUAAACUCUUAACGCCAGAAGCACUCACCGAGAAGGAAAAUCAAAGUGGCUUACGAACAUAUCUUCCAAACAGAACGCCGACCAUUUCGAAGGCGGUAGUUUUUUUUGUCUCUUGCUCACCAUUUUUUUCCUCCAAAAAAAGAAAUUCUAAACUAGAUAAGGCAAGUAAAUUAGUCUUACAUAGAAAUUGUUAGGCGUCAAGAAGUAGUGUAGCUACAGAAAUCUAGCAAAACAAAAAAGUAAAAUUUGUAAAAGUACACGAUUCCAUUAAAACAUUUUUCUGCUAGAAGUAUCACUGAGGAAGACAAUUUUCUAUAAACUUCUUACUAGGACUAAGGGAUAGACUCUUCGAAUGCUUUUUCUAGCGUAUCACGAAGUGUGUGAGUGAUAACAACCCAGCUACUUUUUUUUUUCUUACAAGCGAGUAAAAUUCGAGUGUCUUAGACUGAGCGAUAUUCGCUUGAGUUCGAAGUGGCUGAGACUGAACCUGGGAGCACUGACUGUGUGCAACUCUUGUCAAACACACUGACCCAAUGUCCUGAUAGUGGGAUUCACCGCGAUCCUACAGACUUCUUCCUUCUUCUCUUCUUCAUCUUCUUCUUCUUCUCUUCCUGCCCGAAAACGGGCUCGUUUCCUGCCGCUGUCAAAGAAAAACUGAAAAUUUCGUCCGCAAAGAUCUACGUGGCACGCUGGCGACGGCGGAAAGGCUGCGCCUUCCUGACCUACUACCACCGGGACAGCGCCGUCAACGCACAGGCCGCGCUCCAUGACACGCGGACGCUACCAGGGGGCAAGCAAUGUGCGAGGCGGUUCAGAGCGGACGCCCUCCACCCUACAACUUCAAAUCACCAACUAACCAAGUGGUUUUGUGCCGGUAAGCACAGCCAUUGUUAUAAGGACCACAUGGGGUGAGGCGUGGGCGGUGCUGCCCCCGCUAUGGGGCGUGUUUGUGUGGAGUCACCAGCCGGUGGCAAGGGCAAGGAGCCGCGAUGCCACCGCGUCAUCGGCUGCCGCGUCGUCAGGCUCUGCAAGGUGAGUA